GUGUGCCUACGGGGCGCAGCAGUGAGGAAUAUUGGUCAAUGGCCGGGAGGCUGAACCAGCCAAGUCGCGUGAGGGAAGACGGCCCUACGGGUUGUAAACCUCUUUUGUCAGGGAGCAAGGUGCAGGUCGGGACCUGCUGUGAGAGUACCUGAAGAAAAAGCAUCGGCUAACUCCGUGCCAGCAGCCGCGGUAAUACGGAGGAUGCGAGCGUUAUCCGGAUUUAUUGGGUUUAAAGGGUGCGUAGGCGGACUGUUAAGUCAGCGGUAAAAGCCCGGGGCUCAACCCCGGCGAGCCGUUGAAACUGG
rnacentral:rRNA from 1 species